UCCGCUGCGAAUAACCAGGUAUAUUCGGAACCCUAAGAUCUAGAUUUAUUUUCAGUAUUUGCAUGAGAUUCUAGGCAUAUGAAUUCAUAGGUUGAUUUAUAAAUCGUUAUAAACCGGUAUGAAUUCCAACAGUCGCUAAGGUAAGAUUUUUUUUUUUACCGCUAGGGUUAGAGUUUGGUGCUGCACGUUUGAUAGCACAUUGUUAUAGCACGUUUUAUUGAACUGUUAUCGUAGAUGAUUUAGAAAUUCUCAUAUUAUAUAAUAGCUUUAGAUAAACGCUAUAAUAGAGUUAAACGCUAUGAUAGAGUUUCAAUAAGAGGGAACCUAAAAUUAGUUUUUCCCGCGAAAUACUUGAUGAAAAUCAGUAGACUAAUAAUUUUCUUUCUCUUAAUUCUCAUUUUCCCUCCCUCAACUCUCACCUAAAACCCUAUCUCUGUGAUUCCCUUUCUAAAUUUGUUUCAUUAUAGCUCCACCAUGUAAUGAAUUAAACCUUCAAAAAUAAUAUUAAACUCAUUACAUAGUAUAAACUCCAAAUCCUAUUCCUUAAACCCCAAAUAAUCUACUUCAUACCCUAAGUUCUAUACCACAAAUUAUAAAUUUAAAGACUAAAAGUCUAAUGUUUUAAUUUUUAUCCUCAAAUCUCACCCUAAAUCUCAACUCCCAUACCCCAAACCUUUAUAUAUCAUAACACUAAACUUUAAUUUAUUAUAAAUUCCAAAACAUAAAUUUUAUAUUACAAACUCUAAAUACUAUAUACUCAAACCUAAUAUCUUCAUAAAAUUUUGAACCCAAUUUUAAUACUUAAACUCUAAAUCUAAUUGUCUUUAACUGCAUUCUAUAUCUUAAAUCUAAACCCCGACUACAUAACUCAAACUAUAUAUCCUAAAUACAAGUUUUAACAAUAAUAUUUUUAAACUUGAAUCCAAAUCUUAAAUAUAAAACUGUAAAUUUAAUAAUUUUAAAAUUUUAGUUUCAAAAUAUUUACAUAAUUCCAAAUUCCAAAACAAUAAUUUUAUACCAUAAACUCUAUUUUAUAAACCAUAGUUUCAUUUCAUACACCACAAACAUCAAUAACAAAUUUUAAAUUUUAAAUUUUAAAAUUCAAAUCUAAAAUUAGUUUUUUCAAAUUUUAAAUUGUGAAACCUAAAUAUUUGAUUUUUUUUUCAAAAUAUUUGUUGUACAUUUAAAUUUACCACUAAUACUUUGUGUAUUAAAACAAAAAAAAUAAAACAGGAAAAUAAUCACAAAAAUCUGAUUGGUCAAACAAAUCGACCAAUAAUGUAUAAGGGUGAGGAUCAUGAUUUUUUUUAAUCACAAUUGUUGAUUAACCUAAAUCUAAUGGACAAGAAUUCACAAGUUCGCUCUCUCUCCUCCUAUCUUGUCGUUUAUUCUCUUUCACUCUCUAGGAAACUGUCUCUAUCUCUCAUCUUCUUCUCCAUGUCUCAAACAAAAUCUGUCUCAACCACCAUCGAUCCUCAUCUAUCUCAACGUCCUCUGCUCAUCUCCGGCAUGGGGUGGCGUAAAAUUACCUCGACGUCGGAUAUACAGAUCUGGACACUCCUCGCUCGUUACCACUCCUUUCGAUCCGUCAUUCUCAUCACCGAGGAGCUUGAUGGAGGAGACCGAAGAAGGCUGACGGCGGAAGAGUCAAAAGAAGGUUGACGGGAAGUGGUGGUCUCGAGAAGUUAAAGCUGGAAGGUCUCGGGAAGUGGAGGCUUUCUUUGUGUAUUAUGAAACGGGAAGGUCUCCAGAACGGAGACAAUGAAGCGCGGAAGCUGCAGCGGUGGAGGUGCUGAAGCCAGCGGGGGAGGUUCCGCAGAGACGACGACUAGAGGAGGCAAGGCUCAUGGGUGUUGGAAGAGGGGCAAGGCUAUGGAGGAGGUGGCUGGAGUCUAUUUUUCUCUUAGGUUUAGGUUUUUUUUGGUUCAGUGUAAACCUUAGUGGUUUGACUUUAUUUUUUAAUUUCCGGUUUAGUUUUGUAAACCGAAAUUUAUUUGUAAACCAAUUUUAAUUUAUAAAUAAAAUUUAUUUUAUUUUUAA